rnacentral:rRNA from 1 species
GAUGAACGCUGGCGGCGUGCCUAAUACAUGCAAGUCGAGCGAAUGGAUUAAGAGCUUGCUCUUAUGAAGUUAGCGGCGGACGGGUGAGUAACACGUGGGUAACCUGCCCAUAAGACUGGGAUAACUCCGGGAAACCGGGGCUAAUACCGGAUAACAUUUAGAACCGCAUGGUUCGAAAUUGAAAGGCGGCUUCGGCUGUCACUUAUGGAUGGACCCGCGUCGCAUUAGCUAGUUGGUGAGGUAACGGCGCACCAAGGCAACGAUGCGUAGCCGACCUGAGAGGGUGGUCGGCCACACUGGGACUGAGACACGGCCCAGACUCCUACGGGAGGCAGCAGUAGGGAAUCUUCCGCAAUGGACGACAGUCUGACGGAGCAACGCCGCGUGAGUGAUGAAGGCUUUCGGGUCGUAAAACUCUGUUGUUAGGGAAGAACAAGUGCUAGUUGAAUAAGCUGGCACCUUGACGGUACCUAACCAGAAAGCCACGGCUAACUACGUGCCAGCCGCCGCGGUAA